rnacentral:rRNA from 1 species
AACGAACGCUGGCGGCAGGCUUAACACAUGCAAGUCGAGCGCCCCGCAAGGGGAGCGGCAGACGGGUGAGUAACGCGUGGGAAUCUACCCAUCUCUACGGAAUAACGCAUGGAAACGUGUGCUAAUACCGUAUACGUCCUUCGGGAGAAAGAUUUAUCGGAGAUGGAUGAGCCCGCGUUGGAUUAGCUAGUUGGUGGGGUAAAGGCCUACCAAGGCGACGAUCCAUAGCUGGCCUGAGAGGAUGAUCAGCCGCACUGGGACUGAGACACGGCCCAGACUCCUACGGGAGGCAGCAGUGGGGAAUAUUGGACAAUGGGCGCAAGCCUGAUCCAGCCAUGCCGCGUGAGUGAUGAAGGCCCUAGGGUUGUAAAGCUCUUUCACCGGUGAAGAUAAUGACGGUAACCGGAGAAGAAGCCCCGGCUAACUUCGUGCCAGCCGCCGCAGUAACAC